rnacentral:rRNA from 1 species
GACAAUAAAUAACAAUGUANGGCUCUUAUGGGUCUUAUAAUUGGAAUGAGUACAAUUUAAAUCCCUUAACGAGGAUCAAUUGGAGGGCAAGUCUGGUGCCAGCAGCCGCGGNAAUUCCAGCUCCAAUAGCGUAUACUAAANUUGUUGCCGUUAAAAAGCUCGUAGUCGAACUUCGGCCUUUGCCGCCCGGUCCGCCUUUUUGGUGNGUACUGGAGCGGNGGAGGCCUNCUUCGUGGUGAACAAUCAUGCUCUUUACUGGG